GGGGAAUAUUGGACAAUGGGCGCAAGCCUGAUCCAGCAAUGCCUCGUGUGUGAAGAAGGUCUUCGGAUUGUAAAGCACUUUCGGCGGGGACGAUGAUGACGGUUCCCGCAGAAGAAGCCCCGGCUAACUUCGUGCCAGCAGCCGCGGUAAUACGAAGGGGGCUAGCGUUGCUCGGAAUGACUGGGCGUAAAGGGCGCGUAGGCGGUUUGUACAGUCAGAUGUGAAAUUCCUGGGCUCAACCUGGGACUGCAUUUGAUACGUGCGGGCUUGAGUGUGGAAGAGGGUUGUGGAAUUCCCAGUGUAGAGGUGAAAUUCGUAGAUAUUGGGAAGAACACCGGUGGCGAAGGCGGCAACCUGGUCCAUUACUGACGCUGAGGCGCGAAAGCGUGGGGAGCAAA
rnacentral:rRNA from 1 species